UGAGGAGGCGCACAGUGGGGGAUUGGCUGCGCCUAGCGAUGACCUAUGCUCUGACGUGCACGUGCUUUCCUAGUUGGGAGACGAGGCGUGCGCCGGCGAGAUCAGUGUCCGAUCCAGCGAUAAGCCAAGAAAACCAAGUUCCCUAGCAGCGUCUGUUCUCGUCAAAGGUAUUGCCAGUGUCUGGGGUGUCUUCGCCUGGCAGCGUCUGACAGCCCUGGGAGCAAUGUCGUUGCCGACGAUGCCACAAUUUGACCACUCGGGGCAACAUGCACGGCUGGCGCACCUGAAACAACAUGGCUCGAUUCAACAGUGCUUUUCUUGAGCAGAGAGUGCGCAGAAGGACCGGAUCAUGUGUUUGAGGACUACGCACGUGAGCGCUCGGGAAGGUUCGUCAACUGGACUGGAGCGCCACCCACUUUGACUUCCUCGGACGAUGCGCCUAUUAGAAGCUCAUCACCCGAGCAUCCUUUCAGUGGGCACGUCAGCUGGCCGCCGGUGAACAGGAUGUCAAAUCCGUUCUAUUUCACGCAGGAAUUCGGGACAUCGAGGACAAGCACCUCUGUAGGCGGCGGGUGCAGCACGGUUGCGUCACUCAAUGGGAAAUGAAUUUAAAAAUUGACCACACAACAACGCCUCGUCACACGCCAUGGCCUUCGCGC